GAUGAACGCUGGCGGCGUGCCUAAUACAUGCAAGUCGAGCGAACGGACGAGAAGCUUGCUUCUCUGAUGUUAGCGGCGGACGGGUGAGUAACACGUGGAUAACCUACCUAUAAGACUGGGAUAACUUCGGGAAACCGUAGCUAAUACCGGAUAAUAUUUUGAACCGCAUGGUUCAAAAGUGAAAGACGGUCUUGCUGUCACUUAUAGAUGGAUCCGCGCUGCAUUAGCUAGUUGGUAAGGUAACGGCUUACCAAGGCAACGAUGCAUAGCCGACCUGAGAGGGUGAUCGGCCACACUGGAACUGAGACACGGUCCAAACUCCUACGGGAGGCAGCAGUAGGGAAUCUUCCGCAAUGGGCGGAAGCCUGACGGAGCAACGCCGCGUGAGUGAUGAAGGUCUUCGGAUCGUAAAACUCUGUUAUUAGGGAAGAACAUAUGUGUAAGUAGCUGUGCACAUCUUGACGGUACCUAAUCAGAAAGCCACGGCUGACUACGUG
rnacentral:rRNA from 1 species